rnacentral:rRNA from 1 species
UAUUGCACAAUGGGGGGAACCCUGAUGCAGCGACGCCGCGUGGGUGAAGGAGCGUUUCGGCGCGUAAAGCCCUAUCGGCAGGGAAGAAGAUGACGGUACCUGACCAAGAAGCCCCGGCUAACUACGUGCCAGCAGCCGCGGUAAUACGUAGGGGGCAAGCGUUAUCAGGAUUUACUGGGUGGAAAGGGGGCGCAGACGGCAAUGCAAGCCAGGAGUGAAAGCCCGGGGCCCAACCCCGGGACUGCUCUUGGAACUGCAUGGCUGGAGUACAGGAGGGGCAGGCGGAAUUCCUAGUGUAGCGGUGAAAUGCGUAGAUAUUAGGAGGAACACCGGUGGCGAAGGCGGCCUGCUGGACUGUGACUGACGUUGAGGCCCGAAGGCGUGGGGAGCAAACAGGA